UGCGUUGCAGCUCCCAUAGACCCUAGCGCUAGAGUUCCCUUUAGUAAGUAUUGUGGGAAACUGUAUGGGUUGCGCAACGUGAGGUGCUGCAUUGUGCGCGGCGUGCUUAAAUAUCGUCGUUGGGUUUAUCCUGCUGCAUAAGCUGUGGAAGGCUACCAGUGCCCUGACUGACUGACCACUGCCAUCACUAUGACAGAUCCCCCAAGACCUUUGCUGAAUUUGAUGCAAUAAAUUUGACUAAAGGCAAUCA